rnacentral:lncRNA from 1 species
AACAGCCCCUGGCUCCUACAGUAUAUUCAAUAAACAGUGCUAUUAUCAUUAUUUGCUGAGUCUUACAUUGCAUGCAUUUUUCUCUGAACAUAUAUUAUAAUAUAAUUAUAUGUAAAUAUGUUUUUAUAUAUAAAUAUAUAAUAAUUAUAAUUUGACACAGCUGUUACAGAAAAAAAUCUGUAUAUUUCAAGAACACUAUAGACUCUUCAGCGUAUAGGGCCUAAGUUAAAUCCUAGUUUUUAAUUAAACACUAAUAUGCUUAAUUAAUUAUUCUUCCCAUUGUCUUUUUGUUUUGUUUUGUUUUUCCAAUUUACAAAGACACAAACCAGGUAUGUUAAGUUUACAUUGGGAACAUACAUAAAUAUAUACUAAUAAUGAAAUUUUAUUUCAAAAUUAUCCUUAAGCUAAACAACUGCCAUCAGUUCUGAUAUCAAGGGUUAGGCUUCGCUGGUGGCACAUGCUUUUAAUCCCCACACAGAGGAUUUCAAGCUUGGCCUGCCUGUCCUUUUGGAAAAGAGGGAGAACGGAGAUGUUUGGCUUAAAACACUCAAAUGUUGCCAGCCUACCCAACUGAGAUGAGUUGGUAACUCGGAGUUAAACCUCAGAAAAAGACAGUUCUAAGGACUUUCCCUUUCGUCCUGCUGGGCCUCCUGGGAGACCUAACUACAUUAGGCUUGACCUUGGCAGAACCUAAACCCCUGGCGGGUCAAGGAUUACGCACGCUGAGGAAGGUGAAUUUUUUCUCCCCGCUUUCAAGCACUGAGUGACAAGAGCCACGGGGUAGAGCCUGGGAGAAUUAAAGUCGCUAAGACCCAUCAGCCUAGGCUCGCGAGCUCCGGAUCCACAGCUGUCACGGCAGCUCUUGCAGGACGCCAGAGCUGAGGGAAAUGCCGACUCGGCCUCCAUCUGUCUGACAGCAUCAGCCACGUGGAAUUGGAGGAGCCCCGGAAUCCGCUCUCUAAACCAGCGCCAGGCCCACGACUGACCGGAGAACUCAGAGAACAAUCGCUUCACCCGCCAGCCCGCUAUUCCGGAGCCGGCUCAGCCGCUCAC